rnacentral:tRNA from 1 species
GGUGGGUUGGCUCAGUGGGUAGAGCUGAGGGCUCGCGACCGGUAGGUCCGGGUUCGAAUUUCGCAGCAGGCG